rnacentral:rRNA from 1 species
UACGUAGGGGGCAAGCGUUGUCCGGAAUCAUUGGGCGUAAAGCGCGUGUAGGCGGUUCGAUAAGUCUGCUGUGAAAGUCCAGGGCUCAACCCUGGAAAGCCGGUGGAUACUGUCGGACUAGAGUGCGGAAGAGGCGAGUGGAAUUCCCGGUGUAGCGGUGAAAUGCGCAGAUAUCGGGAGGAACACCAAUUGCGAAGGCAGCUCGCUGGGACGUUACUGACGCUGAGACGCGAAAGCGUGAGGAGCAAACAGG